rnacentral:lncRNA from 1 species
CAAUAGAUAUUUUCCUGAGCUGCCAUGACUUCUGGUUGCCUGCUGUGAGAAACUGGUACCAGCCAGCUCACUUAAGCUGAUGAAAAAGUCUGAGUUAGAGUGUAUCAUCUGUGUAGAAUACGAGACAUCACCUCAACAAGUAUUACCAUCUGUCAGUUCUAGAUGCGCUUCCACAUGGAGAUUCAUGAAGCUCAUACCUUCUGGCAGUACUGUAGUCUUGGCCUUCAUGGAAGUUUC